UGUCAUAACCAAACAUAUGACUGGGUUUACUGGGAAAACGCUGUUUGGGAAAUCUUUCCAGCAAAAAUCCUCACUAAAACCUUGCACCCCCCUGCCUGGGGAAGGCUUGAUAAAAAUCCUCACCAAUUUGCAUAGGUGACCACAGACCCAAACCCUUGGAUCUUAAGAAGAAAGAAAAAAGCAUUCAAUUUCUU